CUCAGUAGUCCACUAGUCCACUCGGUAGUUCAGUAGUUUAUAAUACAUAAGCUCAUUGUACAUUGUUUCAUUUAUUUAACAUUGUCCUCAUUCUUGUUUUAUAAUAAAGAAGAAGAACUGAGAUGUUCUUGUGCAGCACAGUCAGAAGAUAAACUGAGGUGAAGACUUUGGUAAGCAGUUGCUCAGUAUCAGGUGUAAUCUGAAGGAGAAGUUGAGCUCCAGAAUGAGUGUCUCUGGGGAACAGGACACACAGGAAGCUGAGAGACUGUUUCAGGGUAAGAGAUCUGACUCUCCUGAACCCAGCUGUGUGUCCAUGAAGAGUGACCAGUCAAUAGACCAUCCACUACUCUUCAGAAAGAAGGACUGUUCUCCUGAACCCAGCUGUGUGUCUAUUAAGAGUGACCUGUCAAUGGACUUUCCAUUAAACUUCAGAAAGGAGGACUGCUCUCCCGAACCCAGCUGUGUGUCCAUGAAGAGUGACCAGUCAAUGCCCCCUCCACUAAACUUCAGAAAGGAGGACUGCUCUCCUGAACUGAGAGUCAAGCAGAAGGCAUCAGACACUAGCAGAAGGAAUAUGGAGGUCAUACUCAAGGAGCUGGAGCAGAAAGUCAUCUCUCUCGUAAAGAAACAGCUGAAGAGGUUUGAGAAGAUCCUGAAGAGUCUGGAUUACCCAGCAUGCUCUGGGAGAGAGGAGGAGGAUGAAGAGGAUCAGAGCGCUGUCAGAGAGGGAGCGCUGAAGGGUCUGGAUUACCCAGCAUGCUCUGGGAGAGAGGAUGAGGAUGAGGAGGAGGAGGAUGAGGAGGAGGAUGAGGAGGAUCAGAGCGCUGUCAGAGAGGGAGCACUGAAGAUCACACUGCACGUCCUGAAGAACAUGAACCAGACAGACCUCGCUAACACACUGCUGACCAGUAAGACAUGAGGGUUAUAUAGGGCUGGGUGAUA
rnacentral:lncRNA from 1 species